rnacentral:rRNA from 1 species
CUACGGGCUGCUCCAGUGGGGAAUAUUGGACAAUGGGGGAAACCCUGAUCCAGCAAUGCCGCGUGUGUGAAGAAGGCCUGCGGGUUGUAAAGCACUUUCGGUUGGGAGGACUGCUUCUAGCACUAAUAUUGUUGGAAGUUGACGUUACCUUCAGAAGAAGCACCGGCUAACUCCGUGCCAGCAACCGCGGUAAUACGGAGGGUGCAUGCGUUAAUCGGAAUUACUGGGCGUAAAGCGCGCGUAGGCGGCUAGAUCAGUCGGGUGUGAAAGCCCCGGGCUUAACCUGGGAACUGCAUCCGAUACUGUCUAGCUUGAGUACAGGAGAGGAGAGUGGAAUUCCACAUGUAGCGGUGAAAUGCGUAGAUAUGUGGAGGAACACCAAUGGCGAAGGCAGCUCUCUGGCCUGAUACUGACGCUGAGGUGCGAAAGCGUGGGGAGCAAACAGGAUUAGAUACCCCGGUAGUC